rnacentral:lncRNA from 1 species
UGCACCUUUUAAGGAGAUGGCGUUGGACCCAAGUUAUGGUAAUUACCAUAUACUAGGAGUCCUAAUCUGACUGGGAGAAGGAUUCUAAGGUGGUGAGUACUAUAAAUAUGAGGCCUAGGUUAUCAUUAUGAGGUAAUACCUAUUUUGAGCACUAAAUACUUAUCCUCCAUUGUUAAACCUUGUAACGGCCUGUACUCAUUCUCACACCGGAGCUAUCCCCCGGCGGCAUAAGCCGUCAAGCUUCUGUGUGAUCCGUUACUGUGCAGGUUCUAGCGCGUGGAUUCUGUGAUUGGACGCGCCGGCGAAACUUGGCGUUAACAUUGGCGCUAGAAGGAGGGCAGUGCUUAAAUAACAAUCACAAUCGAACACUUUUCAGGGAAGGAACUAUGGCGAGUGUGGAGUAUGCAGUUUCCGACCGUGAAAAGGC